rnacentral:rRNA from 1 species
UACGUAGGGUGCGAGCGUUGUCCGGAAUUACUGGGCGUAAAGAGCUUGUAGGUGGUUUGUCGCGUUGUUCGUGAAAUCUCACGGCUCAACUGUGAGCGUGCGGGCGAUACGGGCAGACUAGAGUACUGCAGGGGAGACUGGAAUUCCUGGUGUAGCGGUGGAAUGCGCAGAUAUCAGGGGGAACACCGGUGGCGAAGGCGGGUCUCUGGGCAGUAACUGACGCUGAGAAGCGAAAGCGUGGGGAGCGAACAGG